CGAGUCUCUGUCGGCUGGCUGUUCUUAUUGAACAUCGCCAUAUAGCUCCUCACCAGAAAACUCAUGUGCUUCUCCACCAGAAUCAAUUCCCGAGCUGUUGAUCUCCUCUAUUACUCGAAGGAUAUGCCCAAGUUAAUAGUUUAAUUUAUCAGAGAAACUGGAUCAAUGCUUGGGGCUGGUGUGCUACGAUUGGUAUAGGCAUGAGUACGAGAAGGCGAUGGCCACCAUAAGAUACUCUCAUGAUUCAGGACAGGUUUUGAUUUUGCUGCUAUUUAGGAGAAAAAAUAAGAGAGAAAGUAUUGUGAUUUUUGCUGCUACUAUAUGAAUAUAUGAUGCUUUGUUAUUACUGUUUAUUGUAUAAACUAUUUGUUGUGUGAACUACC